rnacentral:rRNA from 1 species
GAUCAUGGCUCCGGAUGAACGCUGGCGGCGUGCUUAACACAUGCAAGUCGAACGGAGUUUACAUGAAACCUAGUGAUUGUAAACUUAGUGGCGGACGGGUGAGUAACGCGUGGGUAACCUGCCUUGUACUGGGGGACAACAGUUGGAAACGACUGCUAAUACCGCAUAAGCGCACAGCUUCGCAUGAAGCAGUGUGAAAAACUGAGGUGGUACAAGAUGGACCCGCGUCUGAUUAGCUAGUUGG